rnacentral:misc_RNA from 1 species
UUUCCGUAGGUGAACCUGCGGGAGGAUCAUUAUUGUAUAACCGAGGUGCGAGGGCUGUCGCUGACCCGAAAGGUCGUGCACGCCCGAGUGCCCUCACUCACAUCCAUCUCACCCCUAUGUGCACCACCGCGUGGGUCCCCCUUUGGCUUGUUCGGAGGGGGGCUUACGUUUUCACACAAACUUUGUAUGCAGUGUAGAAUGUAUUUUUUGUUUUUGCGAUCACGCAAUCAAUACAACUUUCAACAACGGAUCUCUUGGCUCUC